CACGCAUCCAACGUUCCAUUUCAACUGUCACUCUGUGAGCCGAGCCCCUGGCGGUUGGGUGAACAGGACUAACAGUCCCCACGAUGGGGAACCUUAACUGCUGUUGUAUAGAAAUCUGUGGGGAGUGUCUCCUGGAGGAUGUGGAGACGCCCCCACCCACGCCGCCCACUCCACAACGCCACCGCAAGAAGAGAGUCCGGUUCUCCCUCCACAAUGAGGUCUUCACCAUUGAGGACCCCGAGGAAGACCCUGUGGAGGACCAGUCCAAGGACCUUCCUAGGAGCUGGACAAAGGAAGGUCCCCCAACUCUCCGUGAGGUAGACGCUGGGAGCAAGGACAGCUCUCUCCACGAUGACCUGAUGGAAGAGCUACUACCCACUUUGAGGGCCGAGGAGGAAACUCUGACUCUCCCUCAGGAGGCGGCGACUGGAUACACCCCAUAUGCUUAUUCCCCCAUCACUCCAUUUAGGGGGACAGAUCUAACUCAACAAGGUAGGGUUUUCUCUCCUCCUUUGGUCUGGAGAGCUUCCCCCCUUCUGAGUUCCUCCCGGGAACAGAGGCUGGGGCGGACUGAACAAACGGAGUGUCCUGCAGAAACCCAGGACCCUGUGCUACAGUCCCUGCAAACCAGUAGGUCAUUUGGGCGGUGUGCUUGGUGCGUCGGAGGGUUGGGGCUCGCUUUCACGUGGGUCGAUGCGACGGGACCGGGCAUGUGGGUGUGUGGACUACGUGCGUUUCACCAGAAGACAUCUCCCACUGAAUGGACUUGAGGGCAUGGGUCAAAGUUUCAAAGCCAAACCUCCUUCAUUCCUGCUGCACACACCCCGCUAGGACACCACAUUCCUCGCUGACCACAGCUCCACCUGGAGGGUUGCUCAGGAUUCCGUCUCCUCAGACAGGGACGGGGAGAAAGGAAGGGGCCCACAUCUGUCCUAGCUCGGGACGUUUCUCAGACAGGGUCAAAACACAAAGGAAUCAGAAGCUACUUUAGUCGACCCAAACAUCACCACCAGCCUUACAAAAACGCUUCCAUCUUGAAUGCACAUAGAGGGAAGGCUCACUGGCAAAUGGCAAUGGCCAGGAAAGCUUCAUCAUUAGCUCGGGGCCCGAUCCGACUUCCUGACAAUCUGCUACAUGGCCAGGUUAGAGAGUGCCCUUCUCUCGCCUGGCCUCUGCGCUCUCGUGAACUUGCCGGAUCCUGACUGGGGGAGCUGGGUCCUGGGAAACUGGGUCCCGCGGACUCCAAGGACACACCCACAUGCCACAGGAAAGGAAAGACUGGGAAGAAUCAGCACUUUGCGGAUGGGGACUCUGUUGGAAUGGUCAGAUGUCAGUACAUAGAAAUCUUGGGUCUUUGGUUUUCCUGACCCUGCAUGACUCAGGGACAAAUAGAAACCUCUAGGGUACUUGUGCUUGCAUUGAAUGCAACCCUGCCACACAGUGUUCUUCUGCAGAAAUACAAUCUCCUAGAAGAGGCGAGAGGUAGGUGGGAGCAGCCAAGAAACGGUCUUGACCAUGACCAUGACACAGGCGCUGGUUGGAGGAACUUGCCUGUCAGUAUGGAACGUGUCUCUUAGUGUUUACCCUUUCUGCUUGAAGAGGUCACCCUGAUUCCACUCCCUGUAGCUCAAGUUCAGAGUCAAUAUUUCUCCCUCCAUUCCUGCUCCUUGCCCUGACCUCUCUCGAUGCAGCAGCAGCUUGCUCAGUCCAUACCCACGCCAUACACUCCCGGGCACGCCCACCCCAAGCGAAACUCCCUGAGCUCUUCCUGCCGAGCCCCACCAGUGGACUGACCAUUCUGUGGAUCUCUCCCUAGCUUGGCUGGAUGGACAGGCGGGUGAGCGUUCAACAGGAAAGAAUGAGGAAGACGCCCCGUUUUACACCAGAGUGGUGUCCCUGCUGGAAGGGGAUGGCGAUCCCCUCGACAGUCUGUUCGAUGACCUUGACGUGGACAGCACAGAAGGAGAGGUCCCAUUUUUCACCAAGGUGGUGGCCCUGCUGGAAAGGGAGCAUGGUAAGUAUGCUGUCCUCUAGAGUCACUCAUUGCUUUUGAGCAACCUGGACAAUGGGCAAGGUGGGGCCUCCUUGCAGGCUCCAUCUUGAGAGCUACCCAGAAUCCAGAUCCUGUUGCAACGAGACUAAGGGUCACGUUCCGGACUGAGACCCGAGGCCUCGUGACCCUGGCCCUGGAAGCUACCGUGCUGCUCUUAGGUGCUGUAGGAUCGGGUGCUGGGCACAAGGUCUGUUUCCAUGGGAAUCCAUGUGCUGUGAUUCGCAGGGUUGGUGUGUGUGUGUCAGGUGGAUGAAUGCUGUGCUCUCGAACGUGUCUGGUCCCCUCAAAAUGGCGAUUAAUGGUGUCUGCGUUCUCAGGGAUGUUUCCCAUCACUGUCACGUCAUGAACGUCCAUUCAUGGGAAAACUAUUCAACACCUACAAUUGAAAGAGGUGUUCUUUCCUUGCAAAUACACAUCAAUUCCCCCAGAAAACAAAUCCCGUCGCUAACUAGGAAGGGCUAGACUGUGCCCCAAAGACACAAGUGUGUCUUUUCCAAUCCCUGUUACUGAGUCAGUGUCCAUGGGGCUCUCCCGCCAAGCUAGUUCUCGGGCGAGAAUGGUCACAGCACCUCCCUCUUGACACUGCACUCACACACACACAUCUCUGCAUCAGAGGCCCCACGAUGCGUCUUCCCAACCUCAUCGAAAACACUGAGUGCGGGGACACACUUCCUCCCUUCUGCAGGUGGCU